CUGAAUGAGGGUAAAACAAAGUCCAUGAAUUAUUAGAUAGUCCAGAAAAAAAAAAAUCCUCCCGCAGUCCAAGGACCAGAUAACAGCAGGAAAUGCAGUUAGAAAGAAUCACCUGGAAGUAAAAGCUGGAAUCUCAAAUAAAAUUACCAGUUGUAUUUUUCAGUUGUUACAGGAGGCAAGUGUCAAAACUGCUUUCACCAGAAUAUGUGGGGAGACAGACAGCUUUUGCUGCUCCCGAGUGUGAAAUGAUUCCAACUGAAUGGGUUUGCAGAAGAAUAGCAACUGAUUCUUUUCUCAAAAGAAAUCCUGAUGACAAGGCAGGAUAUAAGUUUUACCCACCUAAACUGGAGAUGUUUUUCAAGGAUGAUGCCAGUAACAACCCACAGUCAUCUAAGGAACAGCUAAUUGCUCCAAAAUUUUGCUUUGGCAGACUUCUCAUAGGCCAAACUGAAGUGGGUAUCGUGUCAUUUUACACAGGCUUUUUUUUUUUUUAAAUAUUGGAGAAAUCUUGGUUGCUCCAGAACUGUAUACUGGUUGACAUGAUGAUCAAAUUUGGUGUUGAUAUAACCCCCAAAGAAAUUGUUCUUGCUGAUGAUAUUGAUAAUGAUUCCUGGAGACUCUGGCCAUCAGUAGAUUGAAGCCAACAGAAAGACAAACAGCCUCAUCAGGACCUCAAAGAAGUAACUCCUGAAGGGCUCAAGAUGGUAAGGAAAAACUUAGAGUGGGUUUCAGAGAGAGAAGAGUUGCUUUUGAAAUUAGAAAGUCCACGCAGGAUGGCAGUAUUGGUAGGCUAUACUUCUGAUCUUGGCCACUGUGAAAAAAUCAAGAAGUCCUGUGGAAAUCUUGGCAUUCCGUGUGAACUUCAAGUUACAUCUGUGCAUAAAGGACCAGAUAAAACUCUGGGGAUUAAAGCUGAGUGUGAAGAGGAUGGCAUUCCCACUCUAUUUGUGGCAGUGGCAGGCAGAAGAAAUGGUUUAGGACCAGUGAUGUCUGGGAACACUGCAUGUCCACUUAUCAGCUGCCCUCUUCUCAUGCAGACUGGGGAGCUCAGGAUGUGUGGUCUUCUCUUCGACUACCCAGUGGUCUCAGCUGCUCAACCACCCUUUAUUCAGAAAGAUCAGCUCGGUUUGCUGCUCAGAUAUUUGGGCUAAACAACCAUUUGCUGUGGGGCAGG